rnacentral:tRNA from 1 species
AGAGACUUAGGUUAACACAAAACCAAGAGCCUUCAAAGCCCUAAACGAGAGUGAAAAUCUCCCAGUCCCUG